GAGGUGGCCUCUGGAAGCAGGGAUCACGGUGCCCCUGAUAGCCUGGCACGGCUGCCACCACUCAGUGGUCAGAACAAAAGGUGCUCUAGGGCAGCGGUGGCUUCUGGCCAGCGUAUGGCUGGAGGGGUUUCCUCGAUCCUCUACAGGCUGGCUCUGUAAAGUGAAGUUGCUGACACACUGAAAACCUUCUGGACGCUGGCAGCAUUCUGUCUAAAGCUUUGAGCAGAGCAGCCUGAGACAGACAUCUCCAGAGUCUCCCCGGAACUCGCAAGGUGUUUGCAGGCUCCAGACAACCAGCGGUUUGCAGAUUACUAGCUGGGCUGCAUGGUCUACUGUGAAAGAAAAGGAAACUAGGAAACCCACUAAGCAUUUCAAGAGUAUUCAGGUCUUGAUGCCUUGCUCCUUUGCAUCUUUAAUUUCAUGCAAUCUAAGCAAUAUACGACCUCCCUCAGAAGUCUGUGGAAAUGCAUUAGCUCAUCAUAGGCAAAAAUAAUAGUAAAGCCAUAUCUACGAGUCACAAAUGCAAAAAAAAAAUUCCUUCAACAUAGGCGCAGUUCCUAAACAUGAAAGUGAACUUGUCCGGAGGAUACCUGGUGUCAAAGCUGGUAAGUUACACUCUGGUAUAAAGUGAAUCACCACCCCACAGCUUAGAAUCACCUAACCAGUGAGCCUCAACUGAGGAUCUGUUUACAUCAGAUUGGCCUGUGGGUAUUACUGUGAGGAAUUAUCUUGCUUGUCUACAUUGAUAUGGAAAGGCUCAUCCAAAAUAUGCGUGAUACCUUCUGGUGCAUUCUUGUUGCG
rnacentral:lncRNA from 1 species